GAGGAACCGUUGAUUCACACAAUUGGUCAUCACGCUUGGUUGAAAAGCCAGUGGCGCGAAGCUACCGUGUGCCGGAUUAUGACUGAAUGCCUCUAAGUCAGAAUCCAAGCUAGCAUGCAACG
rnacentral:ncRNA from 1 species